UACGUAGGGACCGAGCGUUGUCCGGAAUCAUUGGGCGUAAAGAGCGUGUAGGCGGCCAGUGUAGGUCCGGUGUGAAACUCGAGGCUUAAACCUCGAGAUGUCAUCGGAAACCACUUUGGCUAGAGUCCGGAAGAGGAGAGUGGAAUCCUGGUGUAGCGGUGGAAUGCGCAGAUAUCAGGAGGAACACCGAUGGCGAAGGCAGAUCUCUGGGCCGUAACUGACGCUGAGGAGCGAAAGACUGGGGAGCGAACAGG
rnacentral:rRNA from 1 species